UACGUAGGGUGCGAGCGUUAAUCGGAAUUACUGGGCGUAAAGCGUGCGCAGGCGGUUUUGUAAGCCAGAUGUGAAAUCCCCGGGCUUAACCUGGGAAUGGCAUUUGGGACUGCAAGGCUUGAGUGCGGCAGAGGAGACUGGAAUUCCUGGUGUAGCAGUGAAAUGCGUAGAUAUCAGGAGGAAUACCGAUGGCGAAGGCAGGUCUCUGGGCUGACACGUGACGCUCAUGCACGAAAGCGUGGGGAGCAAACAGG
rnacentral:rRNA from 1 species